UCUGAAAUACCUGAGUUGGCAGAGCGUCAGACUAUAAAUAAAAAUGUUCCUGGUUCGAUCCCGGGUUCCGGCA
rnacentral:tRNA from 1 species